CCUACGGGGUGCAGCAGUGGGGAAUAUUGGGCAAUGGAGGCAACUCUUACCCAGUAAUGCCGCGUGAAUGAAGAAGGUCUUCGGAUUGUAAAGUUCUUUAAUUGGGGACGAAAAAAAUGACGGUACCCCAGGAAUAAGCCCCGGCUAACUACGUGCCAGCAGCCGCGGCAAUACGUAGGGGGCAAGCGUUGUUCGGAAUGACUGGGCGUAAAGGGUGUGUAGGCGGUGUAGCAAGUUAGAAGGGAAAUACCUAGGGCUUAACGCAGGUGCUGCUUCUAAAACUGCUAUACUUGAGUGCAGUAGAGGAAAGUGGAAUUCCUAGUGGAGCGGUGGAAUGCGUAGAUAUUAGGAGGAACAUCAGUGGCGAAGGCGACUUGCUGGACUGUAACUGACGCUGAGGCACGAAAGUGUGGGGAGCAAACAGGAUUAGAUACCCUUGUAGUC
rnacentral:rRNA from 1 species